CACGUAGUCCCAUCCCUGCACCCAAAAUGACCAGCAGAGACAGGAAAAGCAGCUGAUGAAUAUCACUGAGAAGCAAAAUUCCAGUGUCAGAUUUGUUGGCGCAAACUGGAAAUGACUCAGCUGAAACCACUCAGAUCCCAGCGGUGUGUUCAUACUUGCUUAAAGGCUGCAGUGACAGGCAUGCCGGAUGCAUGGCAGCUUUCCUGGCAAGUAUUUGCUUUUAAUCCUCUGGUUUGGCUAUAUGAUGAAGUUCUGCAAGUCUUGCUCUUUCUCUUUGCUGUGAAAUUGGAGGAAACUGCUUGUCUCCCACUGAAAAAAAUGAAGGCACUCAUACUCUGAAUCUGACUGCUGGUAUUUGUAAUGACACCUUCAACAGACUCAUUAAUGUGCUGUUUCUGGACAAGUGCUUAGUGUGAAAAAAAAAAUUCUCUAAUAU